rnacentral:rRNA from 1 species
GACGAACGCCGGCGGCGUGCCUAAGACAUGCAAGUCGAGCGGGGAGACUUCGGUCUCCCAGCGGCGGACGGGUGAGUAACGCGUGGGCAACCUGCCCUUCAGCCCGGGAUAACUGCCUGAAAGGGCGGCUAAUACCGGAUGCGGUGAAACGGACGCAUGUUGGUUUCACGAAAAUUACGGUGCUGAAGGAUGGGCCCGCGUCCCAUUAGCUGGUUGGUGAGGUAACGGCCCACCAAGGCGACGAUGGGUAGCCGGCCUGAGAGGGUGGACGGCCACACUGGGACUGAGACACGGCCCAGACUCCUACGGGAGGCAGCAGUCGGGAAUCUUCCACAAAUGGGCGAAAGCCUGAUGGAGCGACGCCGCGUGAGGGAAGAAGGUCUUCGGAUCGUAAACCUCUGUCCUCAGGGACGAUAAUGACGGUACCUGAGGAGGAAGCCACGGCUAAACUACGUG